ACCACCACCACCAGCGCCGCCACC
rnacentral:siRNA from 1 species